rnacentral:rRNA from 1 species
AUUGAACGCUGGCGGCAGGCCUAACACAUGCAAGUCGAACGAGUGGCGGACGGGUGAGUAAUGUCUGUGAAACUGCCUGAUGGAGGGGGAUUACUACUGUAAACUGUAGCUAAUACCGCAUACCAUCGGAUGUGCCCUGAUGGGUUUAGCUAGUAGGUGGGGUAAAGGCUAGCCUAGGCGACGGUCCCUAGCUGGGCUGAGAGGUUGAACAGCCACACUGGAAUGGAGACACGGUCCAGACUCCUACGGGAGGCAGCAGUGGGGAGUAUUGGACAAUGGGCGCAAGCCUGAUGCAGCCAUGCCGCGUGUAUGAAGAAGGCCUUCGGGUUGUAAAGUUCUUUCAGCGGGGAGGCGUUACCCGCAGAAGAAGCACCGGCUAACUCCGUGCCAGCAGCCGCGGUAAUAC